rnacentral:rRNA from 1 species
GCAAGUCGAGGGGCAGCGGGAUUGAAGCUUGCUUCAAUUGCCGGCGACCGGAGCACGGGUGAGUAAAGCGUAUCCAACCUUUCGUUUACUCGGGGAUAGCCUUUCGAAAGAAAGAUUAAUACCCGAUGGUAUCUUACAGACACAUGUAUGUAAGAUUAAAGAUGUAUCGGUAAACGAUGGGUAUGCGUUCCAUUAGAUAGUAGGCGGGGUAACGGCCCACCUAGUCUACGAUGGAUAGGGGUUCUGAGAGGAAGGUC